AUCAGCUUAGAAGAGAUUGAGAGCAUUGACCAGGAAAUAAAGAUCCUGAGAGAAAGAGACUCUUCAAGAGAGGCAUCAACUUCUAAUUCAUCUCGCCAGGAGAGGCCUCCAGUGAAACCCUUCAUUCUCACUCGGAACAUGGCCCAAGUCAAAGUAUUUGGAGCUGGUUAUCCAAGUCUGGCAACUAUGACGGUGAGUGACUGGUAUAAGCAACAUUGGAAAUAUGGAGCAUUACCAGAUCAGGGAAUAGCCAAGGCAACACCAGAGGAAUUCAGAAAAGCAGCUCAGCAACAGGAAGGUCAAGAAGAAAAGGAGGAAGAGGAUGAUGAACAAACACUCUACAGAGUUCGGGAGUGGGAUGACUGGAAGGGCAUCCAUCCUAGGGACUAUGGCAGCCAACAGAGCAUGGGCUGAUCUUCCCACAAAUGAGAGGACUGAAGGGUGCACACCUCCCACGCCAAGGAAAACCAUGCAGUCCUCAUCUCCCUGGGCUUCCGCUUCAGCUGUGUACAACGAAGGCAAAGAUGCUAAAUCUUGCUUUGCUUUCAAUAAAGUGUCCAGUGAUUAAAAAAAAU